rnacentral:rRNA from 1 species
UAGCCUGGUAGCGGGGGGUAACUAUUGGAAACGAUAGCUAAUACCGCAUAACAGUAGAUAUUGCAUGAUAUCUGCUUGAAAGGUGCAAUUGCAUCACUACCAGAUGGACCUGCGUUGUAUUAGCUAGUUGGUGAGGUAACGGCUCACCAAGGCGACGAUACAUAGCCGACCUGAGAGGGUGAUCGGCCACACUGGGACUGAGACACGGCCCAG